ACUUCAAGGAGAUGCAGAAACGCCAGAGUUUCCUGACUCGGAAACUCGGACCAUUCGGUAGCAGCAGUGGGGUGGGAGCCGUGGCUCCUGCCCCUUUCCUCGAAGGCAGAGCAGCCACUUUGUGCCCGUGUGGGAGCUCCUGGGGAAGGGAACGCCGGCUGGUGCCAGCACGGAGCAGCCCGUGCUGGAGAUGGGACUCGGGUGCUCCCGCACACCCCAUGUCCCUCUCCCCGAGCAGAAAAGAUGCCCCUGGAAUACCCGGAGCGGGCUGUGAGCCCCAGGGCAGGGCUGGCUUGGGCUGGCUGGGCCCCGGCAGUAGCGUUCAUCCCCCAGCGGGUGCUGCUGACCCCAUCUCUGCAGAGCCGCACAUCCAAACCCUCCCGGUGACUCCCCUUUCGCUGCCACUCGUGACCCUGGAUGCAAAGCUGGGGAUAAGCGGUGGCUUCCAGAGCCCCCGCAGCAGCAGUGCCUGACAUGGGUGGCAGGGAGCGGGGAGCAGCCGCCUCCGUCGGCGGGAGCGAGGGCUGCCCGCCUGGAACAACAGCUGACUUACAGGUCAGAAGGGAUCUGCAGGCUGCUCGCUGGUUCUGCUGUGCACCAGGAGGGCACUGGGGCUGCCAGGCUGAGUUUCAAUUGCCCAGCAGAGGCCCAGAUGUGCCACGUGCCAGCCAGGACAGGACACUUGGAGGUGACUUGUGAUCCAGCAGAGGACCAGAUUUUCUUUAUCUUACACUGUGGAAGAGAACUUUUGCCUCAUUCCCCACGAGGAUCACAUCCAAAGGGGAACCAGCCCCAGCUGGGCAGUCAGACCUCCCCACUGAGCCAAAUCUGGGACAGAACUGGACCUGAGCUGCUCUUUACAGCUCAGUCUCACUGCUCCUGCUCUGGCACUGAAGGUGAGGACUGGGCUGACCUGACUGAGAAGCUCCAGCUCUUCUGCCUCUCCUCCUGCUCCAGCCAUGCACCCCCAGAUCUCCUCCACAGCCAAAGGUGGGUGGUUGGGCUGUGCCACGGUGAUGGGACAGCGGGAGAAAGGCCAAAAUUAGCCAAAGGAAAGCACUGUUUGCUCUUUGGGAGGUGGCACUGCCCCGCCAGGUGCUCCAGGCUGGGUGGGCAGCCAGGCCCCUUCCCAGCAGAGCAUCCCAGAGAAAUUCCCUCCCCAGUGCUGCCGCAGCUGAGCCACCUAAUGAGAUCUCCUCGCCUGUGCAUGCUAUAUUAGGGUUUCCAUGGAUAUGGUGUCACAAACACUGGGCUGUGGCUUUGUUAUAUAAACAGGAGAGAUUGCCACAAAUACCCAAAAUAUCUGAAAAGGACAGGAAGACACAAAAGCGUUCUCUGGGUGUGUUUAUAGAGCGUUGUGCGAUCCAGGGGAUGGUGCCAGUGGGAGGUGGGAGAGGUUUGUGUGAGCUUUGGGAAGCAGAGUUUAUCCGAGGGGUGGUCUCUGACUCAGGAGCUCUGGAGAUUCACCCUGAUCUUCCACGGGAUGUUUUUAAAUGUUUUUAAACAAAAAAGGUGCUGCUGGCUGGGCAGUUCCUGCCCUGCUCCUGCAGCUCCUGCUGUAAGAGGCAUCCUUCUCCAUGUGCAAGUUCAUCCUGGCUGAGCCUCACACAGAGCUUGGUCCUCCCCUGCUCCUGCCAUAUGCAAGGAAAUCCUUUUUCCUGCAGCUGGUGGGGACCAGGGCUGGUGAUGGUGGUGGGGACACACAGCCAUCAGCUCUGCCAGGACUGCCCACACCUGACCCUGCUCUUCAGGACCAGCUCAUUUUGUGCCAUUUCAGGUGCAAAAAGUCCCUUUUGUACAGUUGGAGGAAUCAUGUAAUGUGAGGAAAAAGCUGCUCUGGAAUGGAGGUGGGAUGUAAGGGACACAGAGACAUCAGGGUGGCUAAAAUUGUAUUGCACUCCCACUCCCCUGCCAAUAACAACACCAGAAAUAAAGUGGCUUUGCAAUAACCAUCUCCACGCUUUGGAACACAGAUUCACGUGUCCCCGCAAAAGAUGCUCCAGGCAGGAUCAACUCUGCUCCAGCCUUGCUCUGCAGGAGAUGCAUGGGGAGCUUGCUCCAGCCCUCCCAUGAAGAUGACUCUUCGCCCAGCAGGUGCAGCCCCAAGCUCCCAGUAUCCACCAGCGCCUUCCUUUUCCCACCCUCCGUGCUCGCCUGUGGGUGACAUUCCAAGCCCAUGGCUGUUUCAGCUCACUCCUGGCCUUCCCGAUGCCUUCCACCAUGGGAUGAGCAUCCAUCCAUUCAUCCACCCAUCCAUCCACCCAUCCAUCCAUC